UGAUCAGUGGGGUCAACUAAUAAGUUUGGUGGUUUGUUCGGGUCUGGGACAAAAUUUAAUGGGAAGGUCGUCAAAUCUCAUGAUAUCCCAACAUCAGCAUGUGGUAUGAGAUUCUUCCUGGUUUGGUCCUUAUGACGGGCUGCAUUGCGGCUGUUGGGGGCAUAAAUUACUUCGGCCAGAAGUUAGCGAACGGCGGAAAGCUAAGGAGACAUGUGCGAAGUCCAUUUGAGUACCGGCUAUACAGACGAGAUGAGAUGAUCGCGGGCAAAGCGUACAUUUCAAAGGGUCUAGAGGGGUUGAAUGAUGCUUCUUCCAAGAGAUAAGCAAAGUGUUAUGCUCAGAGAAGUUCCCACGGAAUGGCCUCUUCCAUUGAAAACAACACAAGCAUCGUAUUGACUAGUGUCGUAAGAAUAUGCAGCACAUCUGUAAGAAACAAGUCCUGGGUGACACAAAACGUCAGGGAAAUUCAUCUCCUUCCCUUCUUUCGAGCUCGAAGACCACUUUGAAGUUGACAAAGUUUGCUCAUGUGAAAGCUCACUACCCCCCACCCAAAAGUUGAUCAUCAAAGGUAACCAUUCAGACAAUCAUGGGACAUCUUACAUCACCAAGGAUUUAUCCACUAUUCCCACUGUGGGGCUUUUGUGUGAAGCAUUUUUGGCUGCAACCUGGCAUUAGAAUUUACCAGGAAAACAGCCUAUUGGUUGAGGCCCAUCCUCAAGGUGAUGCUGAUAAUCACACCCCUAAAUUGACUGUUUUUGGAACCAGUGUGCAUGUUUUUACAUUAGGAAAUGGGGCAAGGUCAGCAGGCUAUGUCUCUGCUCAUUUCUCAGUUUACGCACGGCAGCAGUUUGAAAUUGGUGCAUUUGGUUAGUUGAUAAAUUGUUCAGGAAGAAAGAAUGUUUGACCUUAAAAGUAACUUGUACAAAAGUUGGCUUUUAAGCAAAACAUUGCAAUGGGAACUUGUCAAAGAUUUGAAUUUAACUAUUUCAAAAGAGGUAAUGUUCACUAGUAAUUUAAUUUGUCAUAUGUUAUUCUUUGUGUAAAUAGCUUACCAGUUCAAAGUUUGUCAAAAGGCAAAUCAAAGGUACAAACAAAAAAUCCACUUUCAAAAACCUUGUAGUAUGGAUUGAUGUGAUAAGUGUUCAGAAAGCAACGAAAGGACAUUACAAAAGCAUGUUGUUCGGGUAGCUCUGGAAGAUUCAACUUGAAUGCAACUUAUUUGCCGCUGGAGAUCGACUUUUUUAAAGUCCACUAGGAACUUAAUAUUAAUUCUCUUAUAUCGUUAAAGCUUCAGGAAAUCAAGAACUAAACAUAAGUACCUCACAGAUUCAGCAAGCAUUUGGCAGAGAUUUUGGUCAAGGCACCGUUCCAUAGGCAAGUGUUUUCAUAAUUAGAAUAUGGUGGUCCACUAGAUCCCUGCAACUUGAUUGCCAAUCUAAAUUUUCACCAAUGUAUCUUAGAUUGCAGUGAGGAUUGAAGUUUCGUUUGGAAUAUGGACAUUUUAUAAACUCUCAAUAAAUUUGAAAUGUAAAAGCCACAAGUAAGAUUUUUUAGGUUUCUCUUGUCAAUAAUAUUGUUGACUCUGCAUCUUGAAAUGAACAUUGUCUAUGAAAAUAGACAAUAGCAAUAAAUGUCACAAAUCUUUCACUACAAA